AUACAGAGGAUGCGAGCGUUAAUCGGAAUUACUGGGCGUAAAGCGCGCGUAGGCGGUCUAUUAAGUCAGAUGUGAAAUCCCAGGGCUCAACCUUGGAACUGCAUCUGAUACUGGUAAGCUAGAGUUUUGGAGAGGGAAGUAGAAUUUCAGGUGUAGCGGUGAAAUGCAUAGAGAUCUGAAGGAAUACCAGUGGCGAAGGCGACUUCCUGGCCAAAAACUGACGCUGAGGUGCGAAAGCGUGGGUAGCAAACGGGAUUAGAUACCCUAGUAGUCC
rnacentral:rRNA from 1 species